rnacentral:misc_RNA from 1 species
GAUGAAGAACGUAGCGAAAUGCGAUAAGUAAUGUGAAUUGCAGAAUUCAGUGAAUCAUCGAAUCUUUGAACGCACAUUGCGCCCGCCAGUAUUCUGGCGGGCAUGCCUGUUCGAGCGUCAUUUCAACCAUCAAGCCCCAGGCUUGUGUUGGGGACCUGCGGCUGCCGCAGGCCCUGAAAACCAGUGGCGGGCUCGCUGUCACACCGGGCGUAGUAGAUUUUAUCUCGCUCAGGGCGUGCUGCGUGUUCCGGCCGUUAAAAAGCCUUUUUUACCCAAGGUUGACCUCGGAUCAGGUAGGAAGACCCGCUGAACUUAAGCAUAUCAAUAAGCGGAGGA